GAUCCUGGCUCAGAAUCAACGCUGGCGGCGCGCUUAACACAUGCAAGUCGAACGAGAAAGGGGAGCAAUCCCUGAGUACAGUGGCGUACGGGUGAGUAACACGUGGGUAAUCUACCUCUGGGUGGGGAAUAACUCUGGGAAACCGGAGCUAAUACCGCAUAAGCUCGAAAGAGGAAAGGCGAAAGUUGCCGGGAGAGGAGCCCGCGGCCGAUUAGCUAGUUGGUAGGGUAAGAGCCUACCAAGGCAGAGAUCGGUAGCCGGCCUGAGAGGGCACACGGCCACACUGGCACUGAAACACGGGCCAGACUCCUACGGGAGGCAGCAGUGGGGAAUCUUGCACAAUGGGGGAAACCCUGAUGCAGCGACGCCGCGUGAGCGAUGAAGCCCUUCGGGGUGUAAAGCUCUUUCGGCCGGAACGAUGAUGACGGUACCGGCAGAAGAAGCUGCGGCUAACUACGUGCCAGCAGCCGCGGUAAUACGUAGGCAGCGAGCGUUGUUCGGAGUUACUGGGCGUAAAGCGUGCGUAGGCGGUUUUCUAAGUCUGGUGUGAAAUCUCCCGGCUCAACUGGGAGGGUGCGCUAGAAACUGGGAGGCUGGAGUACGGGAGAGGUAGGCGGAAUUCCUGGUGUAGCGGUGAAAUGCGUAGAUAUCAGGAGGAACACCGGUGGUGUAGACGGCCUGCUGGACCGU
rnacentral:rRNA from 1 species